AAAAAGCAAAUAAAAUAUACUAAACAUACUUGAGUUGAGCAGAAUUCCAGUGAGUUGGCAACAAAUAAGUAGGUAUAAAACCAUUUAUCAAAUACCCCCAAACUUAAACUAUUGUUUGCCCUCAAGCAAUGCACACAAAAAUAAAAUAACCAAUGCAACUACAUGCUAUGCAAACUACACUAUGAUGCAAGUGAGUCUCAAGAUUUCCA
rnacentral:lncRNA from 1 species